AAUUUUGGUCAAUGGAGGAAAAUCUGAACCAGCCAUGCCGCGUGCAGGAUAACGGUCCNACGGAUNGNAAACUGCUUUUAUACAGNCCGAAAACAUACUACGUCUAGUAAAUUAACAGUAGUGUAAGAAUAAGGAUCGGCUAACUCCGUGCCAGCAUCCGCGGUAAUACGGAGGAUCCAAGCGUUAUCCGGAAUCAUUGGGUUUAAAGGGUCCGUAGGCGGCAGUAUAAGUCAGCGGUGAAAGUUUUUGGCUUAACCAAAAAAUUGCCGUUGAUACUGUAGGGCUUGAAUUUUUGUGAAGUAACUAGAAUAUGUAGUGUAGCGGUGAAAUGCUUAGAUAUUACAUGGAAUACCAGUUGCGAAGGCAGGUUACUAAAAAGCGAUUGACGCUGAUGGGCGAAAGCGUGGGUAGCGAACAG
rnacentral:rRNA from 1 species